CAGUCCAUAUGAACAAGAAGCCCUCCGAUGCCCUGGACACUGACUAGGGAUGUGACAGAGCCCUGGACCGAGGAUGUGAGAACGGCUGCUUCAGAGAGCCGACCACCUAGCUGGGCCUGUGACGGGGGGACUCUGGCCAGGUGGCGGCAGGAGCCCGGAGGGAGGGGGAGAAGCGCUGACCAUCUGACUGUCACGAGUGGACGUCCCCGAGCAGCCGAGACCUAUGCAUGGGUUCUGCAGUCUCCCCUGCCCACUGGACGCUCAGCUGCAGGACCGGCCCUUCCUCUGGUCUGAGGGACUGAGGUGCAGGUCGCGAGCAUGGAUUCUGCAGUCAGGCGCCUGGGUUUAAACUGCAGCUCUAUUGCUCCCUGGCUGUGUGAGCUCGGCCCUAACCAGGCCAUCUGUGAGAUCCACGCAGUCACCGACCCACUGGCCCAGGGCAGGAGCCUGCCGUCAUGCCGCACACCCCCAGGGGAAGACGGCGUGGCAGCCAGGCCCUGGCGGGCUCUGCCUCUCGUUCUGAAGG